GACGGAAGGUGCAAGCGUUGCUCGGAAUUACUGGGCGUAAAGCGCACGUAGGCGGCUUGGAAAGUUGGGGGUGAAAUCCCGGGGCUCAACCCCGGAACUGCCUUUGAUACUGCAAAUCUCGAGUCCGGAAGAGGUGAGUGGAAUUCCUAGUGUAGAGGUGAAAUUCGUAGAUAUUAGGAAGAACACCAGUGGCGAAGGCGGCUCACUGGUCCGGUACUGACGCUGAGGUGCGAAAGCGUGGGGAGCAAACAGG
rnacentral:rRNA from 1 species